rnacentral:pre_miRNA from 1 species
AAUAAGUACAGCCAUGGUUUUCAGCGCCCAACUUUGACCAUUCUUCUUAUUUGAAAAUUUUUUGAAAAAAAUUAAAAACAUAAGUCACGAGUAAAGUACUAUUCAUGUUUUAUCAUCUUAUAACAACAAAAUUACUAAGUAUAAAAAAAUUUCAAAUAAGACGGACGAUCAAAGUUCGGCGCGGAAACUCAUGGUUGCACUUAUU